rnacentral:rRNA from 1 species
UACGAAGGGGGCUAGCGUUGCUCGGAAUCACUGGGCGUAAAGGGUGCGUAGGCGGGUCUUUAAGUCAGGGGUGAAAUCCUGGAGCUCAACUCCAGAACUGCCUUUGAUACUGAGGAUCUUGAGUUCGGGAGAGGUGAGUGGAACUGCGAGUGUAGAGGUGAAAAUUCGUAGAUAUUCGCAAGAACACCAGUGGCGAAGGCGGCUCACUGGCCCGAUACUGACGCUGAGGCA